rnacentral:tRNA from 1 species
UGCCGGGUCGUCUAACGGUAGGACACUACCCUUUGGAGGUAGGUAUGAAGGUCCGAGUCCUUCCCCGGCAG